rnacentral:rRNA from 1 species
UACGUAGGGUGCGAGCGUUGUCCGGAAUUAUUGGGCGUAAAGAGCUUGUAGGCGGUUUGUUGCGUCGGCCGUGAAAACUCAGGGCUUAACUCUGAGCCUGCGGUCGAUACGGGCAGACUUGAGUUCGGUAGGGGAGACUGGAAUUCCUGGUGUAGCGGUGAAAUGCGCAGAUAUCAGGAGGAACACCGGUGGCGAAGGCGGGUCUCUGGGCCGAUACUGACGCUGAGGAGCGAAAGCGUGGGGAGCGAACAGG